AUAAGCCCGCUUGACUGCGAGAAUGACAAUUCGAGCAGGUGCGAAAGCAGGUCAUAGUGAUCCGGUGGUUCUGAAUGGAAGGGCCAUCGCUCAACGGAUAAAAGGUACUCCGGGGAUAACAGGCUGAUACCGCCCAAGAGUUCAUAUCGACGGCGGUGUUUGGCACCUCGAUGUCGGCUCAUCACAUCCUGGGGCUGAAGUCGGUCCCAAGGGUAUGGCUGUUCGCCAUUUAAAGUGGUACGCGAGCUGGGUUUAGAACGUCGUGAGACAGUUCGGUCCCUAUCUGCCGUGGGCGUUGGAAGAUUGAAGGGGGCUGCUCCUAGUACGAGAGGACCGGAGUGGACGAACCUCUGGUGUUCGGGUUGUGUCGCCAGACGCAUUGCCCGGUAGCUAAGUUCGGAAUCGAUAACCGCUGAAAGCAUCUAAGCGGGAAGCGAGCCCUGAGAUGAGUCUUCCCUGAUACUUUAAGUAUCCUAAAGGGUUGUCGGAGACUACGACGUUGAUAGGUCAGGUGUGUAAGUGCUGUGAGGCAUUGAGCUAACUGAUACUAAUUGCCCGUGAGGCUUAACCAUACAACACCCAAGGGGUUU
rnacentral:rRNA from 1 species